GUUAUGGACGGCUGUGAUGGGCUUGAGGAUGUGGGGUCCAAUGAGAGGUAGUGAUGGUGGCGAUGUUGAUGUUGAUGCGUGGUAGAGGAUGAAUGUGAGGGAGAGGUAAGUGAGGAUGGAGAGAAUGAGGAAGUGUGGGGAGGAAGCUAGUGUUUGGUUCUGAGUCCAUGUGAAGUUGAGGAUUUGGGGGUGGUUUAUAGCAAAUAUUGGAGUGUUGCGGUAAUUGAAUAUGAAGCCAUGGCUGGUUUUUUGGGGGAGAAAGAUUUGGAAGAGAUGAUGUUCAGAGGAACGGGGGAGUUUAUAAAGUUUUGGGAUAAUGCGGAGGGUAUUUUGGACAUAUUGUUAUCUUAGCUUAAAUUUUAGGAAAAAGAUAAUCAAUAAUAAGCUCUUUUUUCAUGUCAAUUUAAAACUCUCCAUUAGGUUAAUUGUCACAUCAUUAAUUUUAGAUUAUAAACUUUAUAUUCGAACUUUGUAAGACCAUCAUUUCUCCCUUUUUAUUAAAAAAAAAAUUAACUUCUUGCAUGAUCUAGUUGGUCUCCUUUCAAAAGAAACCAAAAAAAAUAAAAUAAAAUAAAAGGAAAUAAAGCAUAUUCUUUAUCUUAAUUACUUUCAUUUGUUAUUGACAUGUACUCAUGCAUUGUGCUUUUGUAUACUUUAUCGAUAUGUUUUGCUUAAGGGAUAAAACUCAUUAUGUGGCAAAAUUUUAUUAGAGCUGGGAUUAUUUAUGUAUGUUCUAGUACUUUGAGCAUCUUACUAUACACUCGUCUAUAAAAUUUUAACAUUAAUUUUUACUACUCAUCGAAAUAUCAAAAUUGUUCUGUAACGUAUGUGAAAAAAUAAUAAUAAUAAUAAGAGGAAGCUGGGUAAUGUUUUAUGGGCGAGAGGGAUAGAGGAAGCUGUCAAACCGACCCGGAAAACCCGACCCAAAACUGCGAACCCGACCCAGACAUAUCUCCGAUUUUCGGCCACCUCACCGGCCAUGGAUGGUAGCAACGAAAGCUCCUGAGCCAGCCAUCACUUUCCCACCGUCACUGUCGCCAAAAACCAACCGAAACGCCGCCGUUUGAAGCGCGAAUUGUCGCAGCCAAAACCUAUCACGACCGUCGUUGAUUCCGUCGGAAUUAGGCCAUGCCAGACGGAGAAAUGGUAAGGAGGAAACAGAGGCUGUAACGGAGGUGGGGUAAAUGGAGGAUGAUAGAGAGAGUGCAAUCAACGGCCGUGCCGAGGGAGAGGAGGAGGAGGGUAAGGUUAUGGACGGCUGUGAUGGGCUUGAGGAUGUGGGGUCCAAUGAGAGGUGAUGAUGGUGGUGAUGUUGAUGUUGAUGCGUGGUAGAGGAUGAAUGUGAGGGAGAGGUAAGUGAGGAUGGAGAGAAUGAGGAAGUGUGGGGAGGAAGCUAGUGUUUGGUUCUGAGUCCAUGUGAAGUUGAGGAUUUGGGGGUGGUUUACAAGCCAAUAUUGGAGUGUUGAGGUAAUUGAAUAUGAAGCCAUGGCUGGUUUUUUUGGGGGAGGGGGAGAAAGAUUUGGAAGAGAUGAUGUUGAGAGGAACGGGAGAGC
rnacentral:lncRNA from 1 species